CCUGCCCUGCCUGCCCUGUACUCUCGGUUGUGCGCAAACCCUCGCCGCCCUCGUCACGCCCCAGUCUGACCCCGGGAGAGCAGCGGCUGUCCGAGGAAAGGGGUCGUCUGACAGACCCCACCGUCGCGGGGGUGCUGGGUCCCCGCAACGUCUUUGUGCCCACCGCCCACGGGGACCCGCGGGACUGUCCUCCCGGUGAGGCCACAGGGAUCCACGGACUGUCUUCCUACUGAGGCCCCUGUGGGUCCAAGCGGGUCACCGGCCCCUCCCUCCAGCAGAUGCCACAACAUAUCUGCUGUGUGUGACACAGCCUGGCAGGUGCUUUCCGGAAAUGGUUCAUUCACAACCAUUUGGCUGGCCUGGCACGUCCUGGGAUACACGUGCACAUUUACAGGGAGAGGCAGGUGCCGCCAGAAGCCACCGGCAGGAAUCAGGAAACACUCCCCCGGUUCUUGUCUCCCUGUAAUAAGUCACAGCCCUCGUGAAGGAGCCGGACCCGGGUCUCAGGCUCGCCCCUUCACGUCUGUUUGCAGGCCCCCAGGAACCAGACGACCUUCCGUCUUCUCUGGUGCUGGCUGCUCAGUGGCCUGGCGCACGGCCUCCUCUGACGGUGACAAUUACAGGUCUGAGUCACUGAGGGCGGAACACGAUGUCUAUAGGGCUCCCACUGGCUGGGGCUGUCCACCCUCACCCCUGAGGGAAGCUGGUGCGGG